CCUACGGGUGGCUGCAGUGGGGAAUAUUGGGCAAUGGAGGCAACUCUGACCCAGCAAUGCCGCGUGAAUGAAGAAGGUCUUCGGAUUGUAAAGUUCUUUAAGCAGGGACGAAGAAGAUGACGGUACCUGAGGAAUAAGCCACGGCAAACGAUGUGCCAGCAGCCGCGGUAAGACAUAGGUGGCAAGCGUGGUCCGGAAUGACUGGGCGUAACGGGAGCGUAGGCGGUCUGUUAAGGUUGAAGUGAAAUCCCGGGGCUCAACCCCGGAACUGCUUUCAAGACUGACGGACUUGAGUGUACGAGGGGUAAGCGGAAUUCCUAGUGUAGCGGUGUAAUGCGUAGAUAUUAGGAGGAACACCAGUGGCGAAGGCGGCUUACUGGCUUAUCACUGACGCUGAGGCUCGAACGCGUGGGUAGCAAACAGGAUUAGAUACCCCAGUAGUC
rnacentral:rRNA from 1 species